UACGUAGGGGGCUAGCGUUGUCCGGAUUUAUUGGGCGUAAAGAGCGUGUAGGCGGCCAGGUAGGUCUGCUGUGAAAACUCGAGGCUCAACCUCGAGACGUCGGUUGAAACCAUCUGGCUAGAGUCCGGAAGAGGAGUGUGGAAUUCCCGGUGUAGCGGUGAAAUGCGCAGAUAUCGGGAAGAACACCCGUGGCGAAGGCGGCACUCUGGGACGGUACUGACGCUGAGACGCGAAAGCGUGGGGAGCGAACAGG
rnacentral:rRNA from 1 species